UGGGAAUGGUUUUGUGGUCUCAAAACAUAUUGCUUACUGUUAGUUCCAUAUAUUAUUUUCUUCAUUGAAUCCUUCUUUUUUAAUUAUUUUAAUGAAGGUGAAAUGUGUAUGAUCAUCAGUGCCGUGAUACACAACUGUAUCCUAACCACUGACUUAGUUCAUAAAGAAUGUUUAGCAUGCAAGAAUAUUUUCCCAUUUUUUUCUCAGCAGGUUGUAAUUGAGGGAACUGUGCAGUUUCUUCCAGGUUAUUUUCUACAUCCUUCUACUACUUUCUUACUUGGAAACGUUUGUUGUUGUGUUGUGUAGUGCCAUGAUUAACAUUCAACUUAUACAACAGAAUAUUCAGUUAGUUGGAGUUAUUAUGACCAAUCAUUGUUAGUGAAAGCUUCCAGGGUUCACUAUUACAUUAACAACAUGACUAAAUAUUUCUUUUUUUUGUGGUUUUGCAGGCCUACAUUGUGCUGUUUGUGCCAAUUGUUUUGAGAAAUGCACUUACUGUUUUGAAAAUGUCAAGGGGAAUUCGAGAAAUGCACAUUUCUCUGCCUUAGUUCUUUGCUGAGUGAUUUAAUAGUUGACAUAACAAUAUCAG
ensembl:lncRNA